UGCAUGCUGCGAUUCCGCUAGAAUCUGCGAACAGCUCCGUAUAUCUGUUGUCACCUGAAAAGCCCCUAAGCGACUAACGUCUUGAACGGAUAGGCGCGGUAAUUCUGCUUGUAAUACGUGAGAAACCGCCGGACCGGCUCGGGUAUCCUAGUAGACUAGGCGCGGUCGGUGAUCGGCUGGUGUCCCAAGGCACCUGUCCGCUUCAUUGCGAGGUGGGCGGAAUCCGAGGGACAGUACCUAAGGAUGCUUUUGCACCCCUAGGCUAAGGGCUUCAGACCUAUCAACUGUUGGAGGCUGGGUAAGGGCCAGCCCCGGUGAUAACGGGUACAGAGGAUCAGGGUUCGGUCCUGGAGAGGUAGCCUGAGAGAUAGCUACUACUUCUAAGGAAGGCAGCAGGCGCGCAACGUUCCCAAUGGUUCACCACCUAGUGGCCGAGGACGUUAAGGGACAUAGCGAUACCCUGCCCCAAACGGGCGGGGUAAUCGCAAUGGGGGCGUUCUAAACCCCCCACCGAGUAACAAU
rnacentral:rRNA from 1 species